CCCCACCCCUCCCCACCAUCCUUCCUCCCUCUCUCUCCACGCUUCAAACGCUCGCGGCUUCCCCCCCGAGUGGGGAAAGAAGGGAAGGGCUGAAGUGCCUUCCACCGAAAGCGCUCCCCCCGGGUGGGGACAGUGGCUAUCCCACUCCGCUUUCCUUCCCGCCGGGAUCGGGAUGCCGAGCUCGGAAGCCUCCCGGGCUCGACACUAGGGGAGGAAUCACGCUGCCCGUCCAGCAAAGGUAUCCAGGAUACAAAGCCUGAAGACGCAAAACUACCAAAAUGAAAAUGAAAAAGCAAAUGAAAGACAGUGCUAUUAAAGCUCAAUGUUCUUUUGAGACCAUUUCUUCUCUUUUCAGUCAAGAGGUACUUUUUAAAGGUAUUUGAUUGUGGCCAGCUCCAUAGGAAGCACUGCAGGAACCAUUACAUGACACUACUUAAAAGUACCUGUACAAAACCAGGAUUUAAAGUCCGGGUUGCGUUUACUUUUUUCGUGUAACUUUGCUUUGGCAGAAGAUUAAAAUAUGUUAGCAUAAAAGGUGCUUAGCUGAUAAGUACAAUAUGGUAAGAUGAUAUAAAAAUUAGAUAAUAGUUGCCAAUUAUUGGGAAGGUUGUGAAAGGAGAUUCCAAAUAGUAGGUGUUUAUGUUUAUGCAACAGGAAGGACCAUUGGCCUGAUUUUGUUUGCAUUGCACGGUUUGCCAAUCCCAUAGAUAAGCUGCAAAAUGAACCACAAGGUGUGGUAGUUAGUGUUGAUAUCUGGAUUAUGGUACUGCAUACAAGACAGCAAAGUAUGAUAUCUUAGGUUUCAUUUGUAACAUACAUGCAAAAAAUGAUUGCCAUUGACAUAAAUGGAACUAUUGAAUUAGGUUGACAUGACAAUUGGCUCUGUUUCUGGUUUGAACUGCAGCCCAAAGCUGGAGAUAUACAAUAAGCAAAUUCUAAAAGGGAUAAUAUGCAGGAUUUUACUCUUGUUGCAAUUAAUCAGCAGGCAAGACAAAUUCUACCAAAUGUAUAAUUCUUAUUUUCAAGUCUAUUCCAGCACCAAUAAGGGCUAUGAAGUAUUUUAAAUUCUCUGCUUUAUGGUAUCAGUGAAUUGUAAUCCAACACCCAUAUUUAGGAUGACAUGUUGCCUUUGUAUGGCAAGCUACAGAGAUCUGGCUGAGUGCCAUUGUGAGAUAUCUGCAACAUGCUUCACUAAUAAAAAUGCUCAAAUUUGCUUAGAUCUGAA